rnacentral:rRNA from 1 species
AACGAACGCUGGCGGCAGGCUUAACACAUGCAAGUCGAACGCCCCGCAAGGGGAGUGGCGCACGGGUGAGUAACGCGUGGGAAUAUGCCCUUCGGUUCGGAAUAACACAGGGAAACUUGUGCUAAUACCGGAUACGAUCUACGGAUGAAAGAUUUAUCGCCGAGGGAGUAGCCCGCGUAGGAUUAGCUAGUUGGUGAGGUAAUGGCUCACCAAGGCGACGAUCCUUAGCUGGUCUGAGAGGAUGAUCAGCCAUACUGGGACUGAGACACGGCCAGACUCCUACGGGAGGCAGCAGUGGGGAAUAUUGGACAAUGGGGGAAACCCUGAUCCAGCCAUGCCGCGUGAGUGAUGAAGGCCUUAGGGUUGUAAAGCUCUUUCGCCAGGGAAGAUAAUGACGGUACCUGGAAAAGAAGCCUCGGCUAACUCCGUGCCAGCAGCCGCGGUAACAC